UGUUGGAAAUAAUUUUUAACAAAAGAGGGAAAAGAAUAAAGUGUGAUGUAUAAUACAUUGGAAAUACCUGAGGAAGAAGGAGAGGGAGAGAGGAGGGAGGGAGGGAGGGAGAUCGCUGAAUGCUGGCCUUCCUCCCUCGAUGUCCUUUUUCUUCUGCUUUCCACAACGGAAGACUCCAUACUACACACCCAUAAGAUCAACCCAGACCAAAGUUCUCCCGUUGACCACCACGCUUUCCAAGGCUGACUGGGCCUCAGUGCUCCAAAAGAAAAAAAAAAUCCCAACAAAUAGAAAAUUAUCUCACAGACAGCAACAAUUUUUUUUGCAUCUACACAAAAAUUGGAUUAUAUAACCAGUAAAAUCAUAGCUCAACAAUCUGUGUAGUAAGAAACAGCUGAGUUUUGUAUCAUAAUGUUUUUCUAGUUUACGAAGUGUUCUUCCUUCACAGGACGUUCUGUGAGGUUCCUCAUAAGAUGAUGUGGCUGCUGUGUGACAGGGAGGUAUGCAAAGUGCGAAGCCACCCUUGUCUAGAUAGGAAGCCAUUGUGUGCUGAUUUUCAGCAACCUGGGUAUUAGAGAAUGCAUCAUUGUUCUCACUGUCUUUGGCUAUGAAUUCUACUCUCAUUUCAACGGAGAGAGGAAAGUCCUCAGAAUCCAUCAUAUCCUGUAACAUUAAAAUUCUGUCUGGGAACCACGGGGAACUGUGCCCUCCUCACUCUGACCCCGUUCUUUAUGUCAUGAGAACCUGUUGCCCCUUCUUGGCACCGAAGCCUGGAAGACUCAGCUUCCUGUAAAGCAAGGUUUAGGCAGGACUCUCAUGGCUGUGCCUUCUUCAGAUGUGCCACAGAGAUCAGCCUGCCUCUCCCCCUGGAGUGCUAGGAUUACAGAUUUGCACCACCAUGCCGGCCCAGAAUUCCUAUGUGAGCUCUGAUGACUGAACUCAGGCCUUCAUGCUUGUGUGGCAAGCACCUUUCUUUCAGAUCUAUCUCCCGAGUGGCCUGAGUUCUAAGUUCUUACUAUCGGUUCCAGAGCCACACCACAGAGAGCCACACCAAGACGGACACUUAUUCUCUACUUUUAUUAGAAAUCCAAGUAUAAACUGGAGUCGGAAGUCACAGUGGCCUUUGGAAGUAAAACUUGUCACUUGGACUUUGCGUGUUUCUGGUGAGCCGGCUCCGGCUCUCUGAGUAUGUGCACGUCCUGAGUUGAAUACAGGAAGCUCUCACAGUGAGAUCCCCUUCACUUGGGUGUGAGGAAAUACGGCAUCGUCGCAGCGACGCGAAGCAGAUGAUUCUGCAAUCAUGUGGCCCAGCAAAGUAAAAACCCCAGAUCCCCCACGAGCAGAGUACAAUGUAUGAUUUCCUGGAAACUUCAUUACGUGUAGAUUAACCUCUGCAAAAUGUCUCCAUCUCAUGGAAUUACCGGGAAGAGGCAGAAACAACAGGAAACCAAAGCCGUGGAUUUCCGAAUGAAAUUUCCCGGGGCUUACUUCCGUCUCUCUUUAGAUCUACCCACGUGAACAUUUAUAUUGGAGGAUUGAGGUUUCACUAUCUGCCCCUGCUUUCUUCAUCAGAGGGUUAUACAUUAGGUAAAAUUUACAUUCUUUGACAAUAUAAGAGAUACCAAGGAGGGUGAGACGCUGUCCCUCCUAGUGUCUCUUCUUUGCGAAUAAAUUCUAGAGUGGAAAUAGAACUGUGAAACUGACACAGUCCCCAGUCCAAGAUGCUCACCAUGUAUCUGGGAGAUAAAUCAUAUUAUUAUAAUUUAUACAAUAUAAAGUGCUAUCCAUUAUUAUUGUAAAUGACAAACCCUUUAUAGUAGGAUGGCACUGUGAGCUCGAGAACUUCGGGAAAGACUUUUCGUGAUGUCUUUCUGUCCUGGGUCUUGAAGGACUGACAGGAUGUCACCAGAAAACAGCAGCGCUUUAAGCACAGAGAACAGCUUGACCAAAGACAUGGAGACUGGAGAAGGUUUCUGGACCUGUGGGAUAGCAGCUCUCCAGUGUGGCUUCAAGAUCCAGACUCACAGAAGAUGGCUGAGAGGUGGCAAAGGAGGACUCAGCAACAUCUCAGCCACAGCAGAUGGGUCUAGCCACAGCUCUGCCACUGAGGUGCCUGCUGUCACUGCAUGAUGCUAGCCUGCCGGGGCUCUGAAUGACACCAGCGCCUGGGAAGACAGCGGCUAAGGCACACAGAAAGAACAAAGCACUUCCGCAGGAGCCUGACUUUCAACCAGGAGUCUGAGAUGCUGAGGAUUGUCCACAUUGCUGCGUGAAUAAAACACGUCCCCUCAGAACGCAGGGUAUGAAAUUCUAGAACAUGAAAAAUGCUGUGCUUUUCAAAUUUUACUUCUUAAAGGCUCAAUUUCUGUGGUGGGAGUUGUGAAGCUGCAAACAAAUACAAUAAACUCAGUUAAUGCA
rnacentral:sRNA from 1 species